UAGGACCCUUAUAAAAGAGGCCUGAGAGGACGCCGCUUUUUAAGCCCUCCCGAUGUGUGAGGACACACAGGAGCCACCACCCAGAGGAACAGGCCUUUAGCGGACACUGAAUCUGCUGGUGCCUUCAUCUUGGAAUUUCCAGACUCCAGAACUCUGCAGUUACCAUCCUCAAAUACAAAAGUAAUUGAUACUCAGCAAUGAAAGCUGCAUGUGCAUGUAGGGGAGAGAAGGAGGUUUCACCAGACUGACAAAUGGAGUCAUGGUUCUGGGAAGGAGCAGGGUGUUGGGUGCACAUUUGUCACCUGGGAAUACUACCAGCAAGCCUCAUAUUUUUUCUGCAAUAAAUGCUGGAAAGGAAAAAGAAAUGCUGAAAAUGAUGAAGUAAUUCCAAUUCUGCUGAUAGAGACCUGGAAAUGCACUAGGGAAAAAUGACAAGAGUGUAACACACUGCUGCUGAUUAUGUCAUAAUGAUUAUUUUAUGCAGUUUGAAGAAGACUCACUGUUCUAAAGAACCAGCAUCCAUUUCCAGGAAAGAGCAGGGAUUCUCCAUCCAUACCUCCAUGGGAUGAACCACAUUGAAAAUAAUGAUUUCCUUCUAAUAGCUUACUCUACAUUAUAUAAAGAAUUCCUUGGGAUUCUAAAAAAACCCUAAUAAUAUAGUAAUAAUAACAACAGAGGUUUGUUUUUGCUAUUUGUAGUCUAAUAUUCAGAUUGUGAGCAGCUGUUUUGGAAGGCAAGAUGAGUGAAUAGAUGUGAAGUCGUCUUAGAAAUGUCCAGGCUUCCAAAAGAAAUUUCACUUUUAAAAGAAAAUAGCCUAAUGUGAACCACAUUAGAAUCAGCACAUCUAAUCCUACGGAGAAAAAGUGACCAUGGCUGUCUACACAUAUAGGCAGGUCAUUCAAGCUCAUUCAAAAAUUCCACUUUCACUGGUGGUCUGUCUGUGUCCACAUGGUGACAAAUGGCCCCGGCAGGGUUUUUGAGGUGUUGGCACCACCAGUGAGUGCCAGAUGGAAUGUGGUGAAAGUUCUGAUUUGUACCUUUCAGACUAAAGGUACUUUCCAGAAUGGACGGGUCCUUCUGGCUGCCUUUUGUAAGUGCAGCCACAGGUAUUCUGUUGAAGCCUGUGGGUGAGAAAGACAUAAACAGGUGCUAUAAAUUUGUCAGACCAGGAAGCCACAGGCCGUUUAGUAAAUGGUAAACCCAAUGGCCCAAAAGAACAAAGGGGUCUCUUUUCAUCAGAAUGAUCAGGCUCAUUCAACAAAUAUUUAUUGAGCACCCACUUUCUGCCAGAUGGAAGAGCCACUGACAAGGCCUCUUAUUUAAAGAGUGCCUGAAGUGAGGAAGCAAACCCCCAAAUCAUCUGGGAUGGUAUGAACUGAACUCUGGACCGCAACAUGAUGGAAAGGAGGAGCUGGGGUCCCAAGGGCAGUCCAGACAACCUGAACCUGUGACACUCACCCUGCCCACACACUCUCAGAGCUGCAGCUUUCACGGGGGUGACAUGAAUGCUUGUAAAUGAGCUUGCUGAAUGGGAGACCAAGAACGAUGAUAUUGAGCUGUUACUACAUGCCAGACAUUUAACCCUUUCAUCCAGGUUAUCUCAAUCAUUCCUUACAGAAAGGCUUUUGAGAUGUCCUUGCAACUGGAGGUGCCAUAUGAUACAGUUCUGCCCAAAGACAAGAAAGUGAAUGUCUGUUGAGGGCUUCCUAUAAGGCCAAUACAUACAGGUGUUCCCAACAACAGCAGGAGCAAAGCAAACCUCAAACCUCAAAAUUGAAUACCACUUUGAGCCACAAGAAGCUGGACUUUUCUAACUCUGAUUCGAAAUUUAAUGUUCUGUUGAUGGCAGACAUCUAAAUUGUUGUCUGAUUCCUUUAACCAGCCACCUCACCUACCAACCAGAAAGCUUCAUUUUCUAAUGAAGCUUUUCUUAGGGAUCCAUCAACUAUGUUAAAUCAACAUUCAGUGAUUUAUAAAUGAAUGAAACACAUACAGAUUAGCUGUUCUUCUGAAAACACACUGGAGGUACAACACUGGCAAAAAUAUUCUUGAUUUAGUGUUGUUAAGGGCACUAGAAACACAGAUUGUCAUAUCUAAAGAUGGGACAUUUCUAGAUGCACUGCCAUAUAACUGGCACAAUUGUGUUAAAUGCCAUUAGUCCCCCUUGUUCUUUUGAUGGAAUGUGGAAAUGAUACUAGUUUCUGUGUAUUUUCAUCACAUUUCCAAAGACGAGCAUUUGACCAUCUUCUUUUGUAGUAACCAGAGAGAGGAAGAAGGAAAAAAAGUAAGAAUAUGAGUUUAGAAGUUAUGAAACUCAGCAUCCGUAUACUUUAGAAUUUUUUUAAAUUUUGUAUGAAAACAUACUAAUAUGGUUUGGCUGUGUCCCCAUCCAAAUCUCAUCCUGAAUUGUAGCUUCCAUAAUUACCAAGUGUCAUGGAAGGGACCUGGUGGGAGGUAACUGAAUCAUGGGGGUGGGUUUUUCCCAUGCUGUUCUCAUGAUAGUGAAUAAGUUUCCCACGAUCUGAUGGUUUUACAAAGGGGAGAGCCCCUGCACAUGCUCUCUUGCCAGCUGAAAUGUAAGAUGUGACUUUGCUUCUCCUUUACUUUCC
rnacentral:lncRNA from 1 species